UGGGGAAUAUUGCACAAUGGAGGGAACUCUGAUGCAGCGACGCCGCGUGAACGAAGAAGGCUUUCGAGUCGUAAAGUUCUUUUAUAUGGGAAGAUAAUGACGGUACCAUAAGAAAAAGCCCCGGCUAACUACGUGCCAGCAGCCGCGGUAAUACGUAGGGGGCUAGCGUUGUCCGGAAUCACUGGGCGUAAAGGGUUCGCAGGCGGAAAAGCAAGUCAGGUGUAAAAGGCAGUAGCUUAACUACUGUAAGCAUUUGAAACUGCAUAUCUUGGGAAGAGUAGAGGUAAGUGGAAUUUUUAGUGUAGCAGUGAAAUGCAUAGAUAUUAAAAAGAAUACCGGUGGCGAAGGCGACUUACUGGGCUCAUUCUGACGCUAAGAAACGAAAGCGUGGGUAGCAAACAGG
rnacentral:rRNA from 1 species